GCGACAGCUGUUCUUCCAGCUCUUUUCAGUGGGUGGCUGGUCUUCGGGGCUGUCACGGCUGUCCCCUAACCCUAUUGUUUCUGCCUUGGCGGGACAUUUGUUCUGCUUAGCUGCAGGGGUAUUGCCCUCAUUUUACGGAUUGGAAAACUGAGGGUGGAUUAAGGUUGUUGACCUGUCCGGACUAUAUAGCUAGUAGUGUAGUCGGAACUCAGUACAAUCGAAACUAAAUCUGAUUUUUGUCUCAAACGUGAUAUCCACGUCGUGUGAUGGUAGUCUCCUUUUCUUAGUUUCUCUUCUACUCCCUUAACCACCGUCAUUCUGGCUAUUUGGACAGUCUCAUCUAUCCUGCAUUUAUUGAGAGUGUGCUGAGUGCCAGACAUUGUGCUGGGUGCUGCGUGCUGGGGAUGCAGUGUUGAAUGGGCCAGACAUAACUCCACCCUCGUGGAGUUUACAGUCCAAUAGGGGAGGGGUCAGGAGACAGACAUUGAUUAUAUAACAUAAAUAAGAAUAAAAUUUCAAAUUGUAGUGAAUAGAAAAGAGAAACAGAUUGUUAAAGAUAGAAUAAUGGGGGGAGCCAUAAGUGAAAUGGAGAGAUUAGGGAAAGGAAGAAAUGUUUGGUCUAAGACCUGAAAGCUGAUAAAAAAGCUCCAGGAGAAGAAUAAUCCAGGCAGAGGCAACAGCAAGUGCAAAGGCCCUGAGUGGGAAACAAGUUAGUAUUUUAUUAGUCAAGGAACUGAGAAUUUCCUGUGACUGGAGGAUAGUGAGGUAGGGAGAGACUGGAGCAAAUUGAGGCUGGCCUUCCUUUCUCCAGUUAUCUUUCUUCUAGGCCAUCCCAUACUGGUUAUCUUUUCGUAGCUCAAAUAUUAUUUUACUCCCUUUAGAGGCUUGGCGUCCCCCACAAGUCAGACUCCUUAGGCCUAGUGCUCAAGGACCUUCAGAACUAGACUUUGCUUCCUAGUCUCCCUUUUUGGCAAAUGCUGUUUCCUCUGCUUCUCAUGCCUUCUUCAGUAUGCUUGCUGAACAGACAAAAUUCUAUUCAUCUUCCCUGGCUUGGCCAGAAUAUCACCUCCUCUGUGCUGUCCCCUCUGUACACUCUCAACUCACUUCUGGUCCCCUGGCUUUUUAAUUAUGGAUUUGCCUACCAAGCUCUACCAUGAGACAGGGAAUGCAUCCUCUCGGGAACUUGUUUUCUCUCUCUCUGUGAUGCAGAACAUGAGGCCAGGCAGUAUUUUCAGAUUAAAUAUCUAUUGAGAGAAUGAGUGAAAGAGCUAGCCAUCGCUAGCCUCCACCUGGUACCUGAUGAGAAGAUGACCCGUGGCUCCUAUUCAUGGCAGAGGAGAUUAGCAUCUCAAAGGGCCAGAAGGCAUGGGCUGGAGCUCUCUCAGCUUCUGCGAUUGGCUUCUAAAAUCUCUUCCUAUCAUUGUGGACUAAUGGCAUUUGUCGUCCAGUGAAGGAUUCACAACAGAGGCUAUCAAGGAAAACACGAAAGAGAUUGUGGAUAUAGCAUAAAAGAUGGGGCCUGAAUGGUUGCAAGAUGUGGAUCUUGAAUUCAAGCGCUAAUGGACACCAGCCCCACCAGAGGAAUGAACAGAAGAUGGCUUGAUGGAGAUGAGUGCCCUGCCAGUGCCAGUGAUGAGGAAGAAGAUGAAGAAGCAGAGGCGGAAAACAAAUUGACAGUAGACAGUCCGGCAGAAGGAUGCUGACUCUUCAGGCCUGCUUUUGAUUUCUUUUACGAUAACAGGUUUUGGAACUAAAGCGGAUAGUGGAAGAUGGACUGGUACCCUAUGGAAAACAUUAGUUACACCAAGCAUGCCUGCCUCCCCUUCCACCUCCUUCUCCUCUUCCUCCUCUGUCACCCCCGAGUCAGCAAGACCAUCCCCUCCCCUUCCUCCUGAGCCUCCUCAGCAUGAAGACGAGGAGGAUGAAGACCUUCAUGACGAACCACUUCCACUUAAUGAACAGUAAAUAAUCAUCAGGCCUUGCAGUUAAGAAACUUAUCUGUUGUGUAUAUUACAUCACUGGGUGACAAUCUAAGACAUUCUUGUCUCAUCAUCAUCACCACUAAGUAUUCAUUGUGUAGGACAUCAUGUGCAAAAGUCGUAGUGAGGAGUUGUUGUGGCCCAGCAGGUUGAGAACCCAACAUUAGUGUC